UCGAUGCCUCACGCAGCCGUGCUGAGAGCUGCACGUGGGGUGCAGGCACCCACAUGCCUGGAUCGUGCCCUUGGCUUGUGUGUCAGGGCUGCAGUGAUUUCCUGCCUGGUUCCUCCUCUCUGCUACAGGUGAGGACACUAUUGUCUCUUCACCUUGUGUAACUCCUAUCUCUGUUGAGACCAGAGAGAGUCUGGAGCUGAGAGAGCCUUGAUGCCAUUAGAGGUGAGAGGUGAGUCUGACAUGGGUGAUAACUCCUGGUUCUGCCAGCCAACUCCUGCUGUACAGCCUGACCUGUACUGAGAUGUGCAAUGUGCCCGAGCACUGAUGUGAAUAAAAAGCAGCAUGGGGGACAAGGAGGCCUCUGAGAGGAAAAUGGUGCUGUCUUCAACUGAGAUUUGAUGUCUCUAACUCCCAGACCAAGACAUUGAUGAAAGCUCAGUGUCUCUGCAACUUCUUGUGCUGGGAGCAGGAAAGGCAGCAAACUGCAGCUGGUAGAACAUUCCCAGGUACUCUCAACAGGAAUAUGUCUCCACCUCAGCAGACUUCUAUGGCUUCUACAAUCAAAAUUGAGCAGGACAGGUGGGGGAUGGAAUGAUGGUGAUUGUUACUCCAGAAGGAGCUCACAGUGCCUCCUCUGCUCUAACCACCAGCCCACACACCACUGUUAGUGCAGGAGUGGCAGCUGAUGACCUGAAGCUGGGUUUGCUGCAAUUCUUUGCACUCUGCCAUUAGACACCUGGCUUACAGUGCUCUGAAUAUCUGACCAUCACUGACUUCAGUCAAAGCUGUGAACAGCUCAGGACCUCUCUAAAUUAUAUCAUUGAUGUUGACACUUGCCCAGCAGGGACCUGAGUGACCUAAUCAAUGGGUUUCAGCUGGCAGCAUACUCAACACUAUCUUAUCUUGUAUUGUCCUGUGAAAUAUGAGGUCAGUUCUCAAGAUGUGAUUUAUUUUCAGUUUCCUUUUAAAUCACCUUCAUGUUAUACUCUUACCUCUGCCUUCUUUAACUUUCCGGUGAGAAAUUGGCCAAAUGUCUCAUGAAGAAAUGCUCCUUGAGCACCUUGUUCAUAAUAAACAUUAAACCAGGAUCUUUGUCUCAACAUUGCAGGGAUGAAAAUACUGUAAUUUUC